CCUACGGGAGGCAGCAGUGGGGAAUAUUGCACAAUGGGGGAAACCCUGAUGCAGCGACGUCGCGUGAGUGAAGAAGUAAUUCGUUACGUUAAGCUUUAUUAGUAGGGAAGUAAAUGACGGUACCUGUGUAAGAAGCUCCGGCUAACUACGUGCCAGCAGCCGCGGUAAUACGUAGGGGGCAAGCGUUAUCCGGAUGUACUGGGUGUAAAGGGAGCGUAGACGGUGUGCCAAGUCUGUGGUGAAAUGCCGCAGCUUAACUGCGAAACUGCUUUGGAAACUGGCGAACUAGAGGGCGGGAGGGGUAAGCGGAAUUGCUAGUGGAGCGGUGAAAUGCGUAGAUAUUAGGAGGAACACCGGUGGCGAAGGCGGCUUACUAGACCGUAACUGACGUUGAGGCUCGAAAGCGUGGGGAGCAAACAGGAUUAGAUACCCCUGUAGUC
rnacentral:rRNA from 1 species